rnacentral:lncRNA from 1 species
GGAGUUGGUGGGUUCAGCUAAACAACAUCUUAGCUAGUAUUUUUAAUUUAGCCAUAUUAGAAUUUUGCAAUAUAACAGUGUCAUGAUCCUGACCUCCAUGUGUUGUAUCAACUAUUAUGACCUGGUCCUGUGCCGCUUAAGUGGUCAAGGCUUCCUGUAUUCAAAAGCAUAUUCCUUGCCUCAUUCCCUUCAGAGAAAACUACUUGCCACGUAUAACAGCACUGAUCUUGACUUGGAUCUGCUGUAGAAAAUUGAGAUCAACUAGCCUGAAGUUAUCAAGCUUCAUUCAGUUGAAAUUUUUGCUUGUUAACUGAAGCUUAAGUCUUGAACUUUGAGCUUUUGUUGCAGUCUGAGUUCAAAUACCUCCCAAGUUUGAUAUGGCUUGGCUUUCAUGCCUGCCUAGCUAUGUUGGUGCAUCAUUAAAAACAACAGCUACUUAUGAGUAUGCUCUCCCGUGCAUGUCUUUUACUAUGUGGUGCAUAGUUGUUCCAAUUGAUUGACCAGGAUGAAGUUAUGUGGCUUACCUGAAUUAGUUGAAAAAAUCUAUUAAAACAGAAGUUGGUGUUGUGGGGCUUUAAUUAGUGUCAAAUUUCUCUAAUUAUUUAAUUAAUCACAAAUUUUUCUCUAUCAUUUGGAUAGCACCUAGUCUUACUUAAAACUAUAUUUAUCUGGGAUUUUUUUUGAAAAGUUCUCACUCCAAUGCUUCCCCCCCAAAAUCUAUUAAAACAGAAGUUGGUGUUGUGGGGCUUUAAUUAGUGUCAAAUUUCUCUAAUUAUUUAAUUAAUCACAAAUUUUUCUCUAUCAUUUGGAUAGCACCUAGUCUUACUUAAAACUAUAUUUAUCUGGG